AACGAACGCUGGCGGCAGGCUUAACACAUGCAAGUCGAGCGCCCCGCAAGGGGAGCGGCAGACGGGUGAGUAACGCGUGGGAACGUACCUUUUGGUUCGGAACAACUCCGGGAAACUGGAGCUAAUACCGGAUAAGCCCUAACGGGGAAAGAUUUAUCGCCGAAAGAUCGGCCCGCGUCUGAUUAGCUAGUUGGUGAGGUAACGGCUCACCAAGGCGACGAUCAGUAGCUGGUCUGAGAGGAUGAUCAGCCACACUGGGACUGAGACGCGGCCCAGACUCCUACGGGAGGCAGCAGUGGGGAAUAUUGGACAAUGGGCGCAAGCCUGAUCCAGCCAUGCCGCGUGAGUGAUGAAGGCCUUAGGGUUGUAAAGCUCUUUUGUCCGGGAAGAUAAUGACUGUACCGGAAGAAUAAGCCCCGGCUAACUUCGUG
rnacentral:rRNA from 1 species